GAUGAAGAACGCAGCGAAAUGCGAUAAGUAGUGUGAAUUGCAGAAUUCAGUGAAUCAUCGAAUCUUUGAACGCACAUUGCGCCCCUUGGUAUCCGAGGGGCAUGCCUGUUCGAGCGUCAUUUCACCACUCAAGCCUGGCUUGGUGUUGGGCGACGUCCUCUUUGGGGACGCGCCUCGAAACGCUCGGCGGCGUGGCACCGGCUUUAAGCGUAGCAGAAUCUUUCGCUUUGGAAGUCGGGGCCCCGUCUGCCGGAAGACCUGCUCGCAAGGUUGACCUCGGAUCAGGCAGGGAUACCCGCUGAACUUAAGCAUAUCAAUAAGCGGAGGA
rnacentral:misc_RNA from 1 species